AAGAUGGCGACCGGCGCACGGGUGAGUAACACGUAUCCAACCUGCCGAUAACUCCGGAAUAGCCUUUCGAAAGAAAGAUUAAUACCGGAUGGCAUACGAAUAUCGCAUGAUAUUUUUAUUAAAGAAUUUCGGUUAUCGAUAGGGAUGCGUUCCAUUAGUUUGUUGGCGGGGUAACGGCCCACCAAGACUACGAUGGAUAGGGGUUCUGAGAGGAAGGUCCCCCACAUUGGAACUGAGACACGGUCCAA
rnacentral:rRNA from 1 species